rnacentral:rRNA from 1 species
UACAGAGGUCUCAAGCGUUGUUCGGAUUCAUUGGGCGUAAAGGGUGCGUAGGUGGCGCUGUAAGUCGGGUGUGAAAUUUCGGAGCUUAACUCCGAAACUGCAUUCGAUACUGCGGUGCUUUGAGGACUGGAGAGGAGACUGGAAUUCAUGGUGUAGCAGUGAAAUGCGUAGAGAUCAUGAGGAAGACCAGUGGCGAAGGCGGGUCUCUGGACAGUUCCUGACACUGAGCACGAAGGCCAGGGGAGCAAACGGG